rnacentral:rRNA from 1 species
UACAGAGGGUGCAAGCGUUGUUCGGAAUCAUUGGGCGUAAAGCGUGCGUAGGCGGCCAAUUAAGUCGAAUGUGAAAUCCCUGAGCUCAACUCAGGAAGGGCAUUCGAAACUAGUCGGCUUGAGUCCUGGAGAGGGUGGUGGAAUUCCCAGUGUAGAGGUGAAAUUCGUAGAUAUUGGGAAGAACACCGGUGGCGAAGGCGGCUCUCUGGACCGAUACUGACGCUGAGGCGCGAAAGCGUGGGGAGCAAACAGG